AGCCUCCUGAUGCUUGCCACAGUCUGUGCUCUUACAUUGACUGUAUAGAAGGAGGAGACAAAGUAAACCUACCCCAUGUAUACCUCAGACUGUGCCUGAUCUGUACUGUGAAUGGGGAGACAUGG
rnacentral:snoRNA from 1 species